GUAAUUAUUAAGUUUUUUCAGACGCUGAUUGAAAAUUAAAAAGGUUAUAAUUUUGUCCAAUCGGCAGGCAAGCCCACCGAGGAAACAAGAGUGCGCAAAAGACAAGGGUUCAGACAGAGUGCCUGCCGCUCAUCAGUAAUUAAACUAUGCGGACUUGCAGCGACUCCCGACCAGUAGCAAGCUACUGAAUUGUAAUGAUCCUUCCGCAGGUUCACCUACGGAAA
rnacentral:misc_RNA from 1 species